rnacentral:rRNA from 1 species
CUCAUAGCGUAUAUUAAGUUGUUGCAGCUAAAACGCUCGUAGUCGAAUUUCGGGGCGGGCUGCUCGGUCUGCCGAUGGGUAUGCACUGGGUGGCGCGUCCUUCCUUCCGGAGACCGCGCCUUCUCUUAACUGAGCGGGCGCGGGAGACGGAACGUUUACUUUGAAAAAAUCAGAGUGUUUCAAGCAGGCAUCUCGCUCUUGCAUGGAUUAGCAUGGGAUAAUGAAAUAGGACUUUGGUGCUAUUUUGUUGGUUUCGAACACCGAAGUAAUGAUUAACAGGGACAGUCAGGGGCACUCGUAUUCCGUCGAGAGAGGUGAAAUUCUCAGACCAACGGAAGACGAACCACUGCGAAAGCAUUUGCCAG